UUGAAGAAGUAAUUUGUCAUCCUGAAUACAACAGCACGACAUACAACAAUGACAUUUGUCUGCUGAAGCUGUCAGCUCCUGUGAAUUUCACAGACUACAUUCAGCCCAUCUGCUUAGCCUCAAAAAACAGCACUUUCCACAGUGGGAUCAGCAGCUGGGUCACUGGUUGUGGUUUUGAUAAUAGUGACGGGUAUUUCUCCAACAUCCUGGAAGAUGUGACUAUUCCAAUAGUAGGAAGAAAUGAGUGUCAGUGCCACUAUGAACAUGUCAAAGUGAUCACAGAGAACAUGAUCUGUGCUGGGCUCAGAGCUGGACGGCAAGAUUCAUGUUGGUGGAAAAGAGGAGCUCCACUUAUGAUUAAAAAAGGAUCAAUCUGGGUCCAGAGUGGAGUUAUGACCCUCCAUGAUUACUAUGGUUACCCAAUGAAACUAGAAAUCGGCACUCGUGUGUCCAAGUACCAGGAAUGGAUCAGAAACACAGUCACUGGGACACCACCAGGUUUCUUUACCUUCACCUCUCCAGCCACGGACAGUGACUUAAAAUUCACCUGCAGCGGUGAAAAUCUGAUCCACUUCACCCCUUUCACCUCACUCUGUUUUCUUGCUGUGUUGCUCCAUGCAUAUUUUGGAAGUGGCAUAUAACUCAAGAUCUUGUACUAAAGCAAUAACGUCAAAUACUUAUACUUUAAUAGAGUACUUAAAUUUUUACUUUUGCCCUUAUGACAUUUUACAACUCUGAGGUGAAGUAGUAGUUUCUCUUCUAUUUAUGGGACAGCUUGGGUUUGUGGUUACUUUACUAAUUAAAUAAUAUCUUUGCUUCCAAAACAUAACAUAACAGGCAGACACACACACUCACACACACACACACACACACACACACACACACACACACACAUUUAUUCUAAACAUUGUACUUUUUAAACAUGUGACUAAGAGUUGAAACUAUAUAAACUAUUAUUAUAUUCUUUAUAUUAUAUUCUUAAUUACUAAAUACAUUCUUUAUUAAUAUUUUUCUUUUAAAGUUAGAUUUUCAUUAAUAAAUAAAAUGGUGAAAUGUUUUUUUUUCUGUUUUUGUUGAAUCUGGUGCUUGUUUGACAUCCUUACAUUUCUUGUUUUGACAGGCUUUUGGUAUA